rnacentral:lncRNA from 11 species
CCAUGAUGUACUUAACCUCUGCCAUCCCUUUUUCUUACACCGUAUUGGAGUGAGCUUUGUGAUAGUGGCAUACAAUGGACAGCUUUGCGAAGAAAAAUUGAUAAUCUUCACGGAAGAGUAAUUUGAAUGAAAUUACACUUGACAGCCCGUCUCCAAGCAAGCAAGGAGAGUGAGGGGAGUCUUAGCUAAGCUCCGAGGACCUGCUUAAGCUAGUGCUCUUGAAGCUUCGCAAGGAAAAUAAAUCCACAGUUUUACCAACAUCUGAGCGAGGCUUUUGAUUAAACCUGUGCAGCUGUUUCUCGUGAAGAAAAGGUAGCCAUGGAAGAAAAUAUGGAAGAAGGACAGACACAAAAAGAUAUGGGCAGUAGGACAGGGAGAGAGGAAGAAAUCUGCUUGGUUAACAUGCAUCUCACUUGCCACCGUUUAGGUAAGCUGUACAUUUGUUAUUUUAGUUUUUCAUUUUAAAGAAAUCAUCCACUUCAUAAGGAUUUCAUGACACUUUCUUCUUGGCCAGCACCAAAGAAUGUGGAUUGAAUUUAGGAUGGUGUGCAAACAGUCAACGAUUUAUCAGGCAACAAUUAUCAGUUUCUGCUUCACCA